CAGAGAAAGAAAGCCUUGGGAGCCAACCCCGCUAUGGAAGUGUGGUGAUUACACACUGUCGGCUGAGUUGUGUAUCCACUCCUUUGGGUAGAACUCCAGGUGUGUUUUUGGCCUACAGCUUUCUUGUGAGGCCAACAAAGUCUUGAAAUAUAUGGCCUAUAAAAUCAUUCUCAUUGGGAAAGAAUUACAGACAAGUCAUCAUCCUUUGAGGAUAAGUUCGAUUAAAAGGUUACUGAAUUUCUUCUGUGGUGUAUUUCAUAAAAGAGAAGAUGCUGAUAAGAUCCCGUUUAAAUGGCUUGCUAAUACCAGAAGCAGAUCAUUUAAAAUGGACCUUACAUCUUUAUAGGAUGUUAGAAAUGAAGACAUUACCUCAAAAUGUAGGUAAUUAUUGCCUCCUCUUUUAUCAGUGCUAUUUUCUGAGGUAUUAUCAUAAGAGAGCACUUUAGUAUUAAGCAGGGCCUUCGAGUGGCAAUAAAUCAGUCCAACUGAGUCA
rnacentral:lncRNA from 1 species